rnacentral:rRNA from 1 species
CGUGCUUAACACAUGCAAGUCGAACGAUGAAGCCGGAGCUUGCUCUGGUGAAUUAGUGGCGAACGGGUGAGUAACGCGUGGGAACGUGCCCUUCAGUUCGGGAAAACCCAGGGAAACUUGGGCUAAUACCGGAUACGUGCGAGAGCAGAAAGAUUUAUCGCUGAAGGAUCGGCCCGCGUCUGAUUAGCUAGUUGGUGGGGUAAUGGCCCACCAAGGCGACGAUCAGUAGCUGGUCUGAGAGGAUGAUCAGCCACAUUGGGACCGAGAAACGGCCCAAACUCCUACGGGAGGCAGCAGUGGGGAAUAUUGGACAAUGGGCGCAAGCCUGAUCCAGCCAUGCCGCGUGAGUGAUGAAGGCCUUAGGGUUGUAAAGCUCUUUCGUCCGGGACGAUAAUGACGGUACCGGAAGAAGAAGCCCCGGCUAACUUCGUGCCAGCCGCCGCUGUAA